UGCAAACCCUGCGACUCGAACGCAGGACCGCUGCCUUUGGGGCAGACAUGCUAACCGUUACACCAAUCGGG